AGAGAGCAAAAUACAGUCCGAUCUUCACCUUCUUCGCCGCCUCGGACGGCGUUUCGGCCACCGUUAUUUCAAUGUUCGACUCAAUCGGCUGCGAUCGGUCAGCCUCGUAGGCCUUGCACGUGAUCAAAUCACUCUUCCGAGUUCCCAGCGGCCCAAAAUUGGAAACCGAGGAGAUAUGGAGAGCAUUUUUCAUACACACAACGGAGCCUUGAGGUUUUUGCGCCGGCAAUGGAGGUGGACAUGAAAACCGCCGGAUUAACG
rnacentral:misc_RNA from 1 species